AAUUGUUCAACAACUCAGGCCUGACUUGGCAUUUUUCUUCUAGUCUCUCAUAGAAACUUCUGGCCUCUGGACACUGUGGGAGCAACUUUUCCUUUAUUAGACUGUCUCCUCUUUAACUGUACCUAGAAGAUACUUUAGCACAGCAAGCAUCUCUUUUAUGCUUACAUUAUGCAGUUAUGCAGACUUGGUGUACGUCCUUCAAGGACAGUCUAAGAAUCUUUGAUUCUAUUUCUGCUGGAUACAUUGUUGCAGAGAUGUAAGAAGGAAGGACUUAGAAAAGUAUGCUAUAAGAAUUGAAUGCUCAGAGGCAAGCUAACUUCACAAGGAGAAAAGAAAGAUGGAAACAGCCUAGACAAACUCAAAUCAAGUCCAGGAGACUUACGCUAGAGUUGCUUUUUCUAAUAGAAGAGACCAGUGUGCAAUUGUGAAUUGUGAUGCUGAGGCAAGCCCCAAGGAUGAAGAGAAUUAAAUAGAGGAGGAAGAGAAGAGGAGAUAGACCAGUGCAAUGGACCUCAUAACCACAUACAAUCUAGUUUUAUGGGGAAACUCCUUGUAUAAAAGAAUAUUGCAGCAUGACUGGGAAGCCUGUCCUUCAUUACUUCAAUUGAAGAAGAAGAAUGGAGUCCAUCCGGUGGCUCCUGGCAGCAGCUGGAGUAGAGUUUGAGGAAGAACUUUUUGAAACCCAUGAAGAGUUUGAGAAGUUAAUCCAAGGUGGAACCCUGAUGUACGAGCAAGUGCCCAUGGUGGAAAUCGAUGGAAUGACUUUGGUGCAGACCAGUGCCAUCUUAAGAUAUGUAGCUGCAAAAUAUGACUUGUAUGGAAGGAACCUGGAGGAACAAGCCUGGAUUGAUAUGUAUGUAGAGGGCUUAAGAGACCUGAGCGACAUGAUAAUGUACUUUCCACUCUCUCUGCCAGAAGAGAAGGAGAUGAACCUUGAAUACAUCCUCCACCGAGCUACAACAAGAUUCUUCCCCGUUUAUGAGAAGGCCCUGAGAGACCACGGGCAAGACUUUCUUGUGGGCAAUCGGCUGAGCUUGGCUGAUGUCCAGCUCCUUGAAGUCAUCUUAAUGGCUGAAGAAUGCAAAGCCAGUGUUCUCUCGGGUUUCCCUCUGCUACAGGACUUCAAGGUGAGAACCAGCCAAAUUCCUACAAUUAACAGCUUCCUCCAACCUGGAAGCCAGAGGAAGCCUCCUUUGGAGGAGCGAUCCAUUGGGACUGCAAAGGACAUAUUCAAAUUUGAAUGAGGACUGUUUCUUAAAAACAUGAGCAAUAUAGUAGCUGAGUAUUAACAGCUACAGAGGCUGGAGUUACUCAGUAAGUAUACUGAGUAACUUGACACUGCAUUCAUAAAAAGACACUCACUAAGUAUAUGGCCAGAGAAAUAUCCUGAAGUUAGUAAUAAAUGUUAGGAAUCUUAGUAUGUUAGCAAUGUUAGAAUGUUAGUAAUGGAAAUAUUAAAUGUGUAAGAGAAAAACUACUAGAAGCUUAUCAAUAAACUACAAGAACCAACUCUUGUUUGAAGUAAGACAGGCUACCAAGACAGAAUUCAGAAAAUCCAAGGAGCCCUCGGCCUUCUGUAUGAUCCUAGAAUAAACUUGUAUGUAGCAAGUGAAA
rnacentral:lncRNA from 1 species